rnacentral:tRNA from 1 species
GUUUUAAUAAUUUAAUAAAAAAUAUUGGUCUUGUAAACCAAAAAUAAGCUUAGCAUUUUAAAACU